rnacentral:lncRNA from 1 species
CGCGGGACUCACCCGACGGACUUGCGGGCCGCCGGCGACAGCGGCGGGUGCUGCAGGCCGGCCUUUCUCUGGAGCACUGGGCCGGGCUCCGGCUGGUAGGGCGGGCGGAGGGAGGGAGGAGGGGCCGAGCUCGGAGCUGACAAAAAGCGGCCCAGCUCCCCGGCACAGGCCCGCCGUCAGCACGUCACGUCACCGCCCGGGAGAGAGACCCAGGAAUAUGCGGGAUGGUAGUUGGGCCCCCUCCGCCCGGUGGGCCUCCCGGCGCCCCGGGUCGCCGCCGGUCACGCCCCGAGACUGGGGAGUCCAGUGACCUCACUGCGGUGGGGUCUCCGGCAGCCGGAGUUUCCGUCACAACGUUCUUUUCUUCCGCGCUCCCGCCCGCCGUCACCACUACUCGCGCGCCACCGCCUCAGUCGGUGGCGUACAGGGUUGAGGAGGAAAGCAGAUGCAGAGAUACAGAUACAGACAGCAUCCCCCACUGGCUCCUACGUUCGAUUUAAAAAUUAAAAGAAAAAAGUAAAUGGACUUACCAGUGUGCAGGCAAGAGGAGGGGAGGGUUAUCCUAAAUCAAUUACUAAGCCAUUUGAGUUUUUUAUGUUAACGUAGGUAUUUUGACCAAGGUCUGUAAUGUUUAGUAUACGUUCUCUAUUGCAAUGUUUCAUCUUUUGGCAUCCUUGAAAGGUCAGUUUUGUGUAAUUUUCUCAUAAACAAUGAAUUAUGCACAUUCGUUAGUAAGUGUAAACUAACAAUUGGUUUGGGGAUUGUUUUCUUACAAAAUUAUCCUCUUAAAGUUUAAAAAACCUUUAAAAUGCAUUUGAUUAAACAGCUUGUACUGAUAAACUACAAAAACGUGUAUGUGUUUUCAUUACGGUUUUAUGCGCGCUAACUUCCUAUUAAACUUGGGACUCGGACUGUGUUUGAAAGCUGCUACUAAAAAGUUAAAUAUGCCUAUCGCCGUGGCUCACCUCCGAGCGCUUUGGGAGGCCAAGGCUGGAGUAUCGCUUGAGGCCAGAAGAUACAGGCCGACAGCUGUGAUCAAGCCACUGCACUGCAGCCUGCAGGCCAGAGCCAGUAACCUCUAAAUGUAGAGGCUAAGUAUUUCAGUUUUCUAGCAUACCGAUUUUUAAAACUCACAGAAAUCAUCUUGUCCUUACCUGAGACACCUAAAAGUCAUAAAAUGCUUUACAAAAGAAAAACCAAUGGUACAUAGUUGGUAUAAUGAGAUUAGUGGCUGGAUAGCAAUUCUCUUUUCAAACCAUUGGUUUGACCUUUUUUUCUCAAGUGGUUACAUUUUGUUUCAAACAUGAUAAAUGAGAGGCAGCUCACCCCUGUAAUUCCAAAACACUUUGGAAGGCUGAGAUAAAAUCAGCUUGUGCUCAACUGAGAGUUGGAGACAAGCCUGGAAAACAGGGAGAUACAUCUGUACAAAAAAAACUGAAAAGAGCUGGGUGUGUUGGUACACGCCUGUAGUCCCAGCUGUGGGGAGGCUUAAGCCCAGUUGGGCUAUGAUUGUGACACCACACUCCAGCCUUUAUGACAGAGCAAGAUCCUAUAUUUAAAUAAAUAAAUAAAUGUAAAUCUUGUUUGAGAAAAUUUCAUCAAGUUAAGACAAUGUAUUUUGUGGAAAGAAGUAUUUUUACAAUGUCUUUCAGUGAAGAACUAGCC